rnacentral:rRNA from 1 species
UACGAAGGGGGGCUAGCGUUGCUCGGAAUCACUGGGCGUAAAGCGCACGUAGGCGGAUCGAUCAGUCAGGGGUGAAAUCCCAGAGCUCAACUCUGGAACUGCCUUUGAUACUGUCGAUCUAGAGUAUGGAAGAGGUGAGUGGAAUUCCGAGUGUAGAGGUGAAAUUCGUAGAGAUCCGGAAGAACACCGGUGGCGAAGGCGGCUCACUGGCCCGAUACUGACGCUGAGGAGCGAAAGCGUGGGGAGCGAACGAGG